UCGGCCGACGGACGGUGGCGGAGCGUCGGGUGGUCCAAUCCUUUGGAGGAGGAGAAGAACAGGGAAGGGAGACAUCUUGAGGAGCCUGAUUGACAGAUAUCACUGAUUGACUGCGGCCGAGCGGUGUGUAGGGGUGUGUAAUUCAACGCUCGGUGUUACUGGAGACAGAUUCGAUCCCGACCCAUCACUGUUCUGCAGUAUUAUCGGUGCAGCGCAUGCUAAAGUGCACACCGGUGAAGAACACAGAUAAAGCAGUUCAGCUCAACGGCGUCUUACCGUCUUUAGUCGGUCUGACGGCAUAAGUCGCCGAUGGGUGCGGCGACGCGCGGCUGCUCGGCUCUCUCGGGCAGUGUGCUCACGACCCUGGCUGUGUUCGGACUGCUGGCUCCCGUACAACGGACUGCCUCGGAGGACGGGCCACUACGAUUUGAAGAUCUGCUUCCUCCGGAGGUGCAUAAGAAAUACGAUAAAAUGAAGCCGCCAAAGUCCGACGGCAAACCGACAGAAGUGGGUUUUCACGUCACCGUGAUGCAGUUGGAUUCUAUCAACGAAAACUCAAUGACAUACGUUGCGGACAUUUUCUUCGCACAAUCAUGGAAAGACCACAGGCUUCAUUUGCCUGAAAACAUGACAUCGGAUUACAG